GCACUGCUGAUGAGUCUCAGACGGGACGAAACAGCUGUCCAGUGC
rfam:Echinostoma caproni strain Egypt genome assembly, scaffold: ECPE_scaffold0003657